rnacentral:rRNA from 1 species
CAUGCAAGUCGAGGGGCAGCGCGGUGUAGCAAUACAUUGGCGGCGACCGGCGCACGGGUGAGUAACGCGUAUGCAACCUACCUACAACAGGGGCAUAACCCGGCGAAAGUCGGACUAAUACCGCAUAAAACAGGGGCUCCGCCUGGAGCUAUUUGUUAAAGAUUUAUCGGUUGUAGAUGGGCAUGCGUUCCAUUAGCUAGUUGGAGAGGUAACGGCUCACCAAGGCAACGAUGGAUAGGGGAACUGAGAGGUUUGUCCCCCACACUGGAACUGAGACACGGACCAGACUCCUACGGGAGGCAGCAGUGAGGAAUAUUGGUCAAUGGGCGAGAGCCUGAACCAGCCAAAUCGCGUGAAGGAAGACUGCCUUAUGGGUUGUAAACUUCUUUUAUACAGGAAUAAAAAAGCUUACGAGUAGGCUAUUGCAUGUACUGUAUGAAUAAGCAUCGGCUAACUCCGUGCCAGCAGCCGCGGUAAUACGGAGGAUGCGAGCGUUAUCCGGAUUUAUUGGGUUUAAAGGGUGCGCAGGCGGGAGCUUAAGUCAGCGGUGAAAUCUGGUCGCUUAACGAUCACACUGCCGUUGAAACUGGGUUUCUUGAGUGUAGAUGAAGUAGGCGGAAUUCGUUGUGUAGCGGUGACAUGCUUAGAUAUAACGAGGAACUCCGAUUGCGUAGGCAGCUUACUAAGCUAUAACUGACGCUCAAGCACGAAAGCGUGGGGAUCAAACAGGAUU